GGUCAUAAUGCUCUUCUAAUGUUUCGGUUCUUAUACAUCCUUUUCCUUUAAGUUUAAAUAUUCGUCUUUGGGCGUUCAUGAUGAAGGUAAUUCAGACUAGCGCGUUGAACGCACGGAAUUUCUAAUGUUUUUUUUUUACAGCACUGGGUCUAUAUACCGCUGCUUGUGGACUAUCAGUCUUUGGGGGAAUCAGGUCAGUUAUUAGUUCUUCGUUAUUGACAUGAUUUAUAGCAAACGUGUCUUCAGUUUAUAUAUGAGGG
rnacentral:lncRNA from 1 species